GACGAACGCUGGCGGCGUGCUUAACACAUGCAAGUCGAACGGAAAGGCCCUGCUUUUGUGGGGUGCUCGAGUGGCGAACGGGUGAGUAACACGUGAGUAACCUGCCCUUGACUUUGGGAUAACUUCAGGAAACUGGGGCUAAUACCGGAUAGGAGCUCCUGCUGCAUGGUGGGGGUUGGAAAGUUUCGGCGGUUGGGGAGGGACUCGCGGCUUAUCAGCUUGUUGGUGGGGUAGUGGCUUACCAAGGCUUUGACGGGUAGCCGGCCUGAGAGGGUGACCGGCCACAUUGGGACUGAGAUACGGCACAGACUCCUACGGGAGGCAGCAGUGGGGAAUAUUGCACAAUGGGCGGAAGCCUGAUGCAGCAACGCCGCGUGCGGGAUGACGGCCUUCGGGUUGUAAACCGCUUUCGCCUGUGACGAAGCGUGAGUGACGGUAAUGGGUAAAGAAGCACCGGCUAACUACGUG
rnacentral:rRNA from 1 species